rnacentral:lncRNA from 1 species
UGGUGUUGUGAACCACCAGUGUGUUUUUGUUAUUAUAUGUGGGUAUAAUUUUUCUAAAAAUGGCAUUCCUAAUAACAUAUCUUUUGUAGUUAAUUCAAAGUUAUAUAUUUCCUCUAUAGUUAGUAUCUUAUCCCAUAUUUAUACUUUUAUAUUUUUUGCGUUAUAUGUGAUCAUGCUUCCUUCAUUAUUAAAUCCUGUUACUACUAUUGGUGUUUAUAAUUUUUC